AUGGCGCCGCCCGGAUCGCGACGGUGGGCGUACGUGCGGAUAAUGGCCGGCACCAUCGUCGGCGGCGGCCUCGGCUUCUAUGUCAUGCUCCGCAUCGAGACCUCCUACAAGGUGAGGAUGGAGGAGAGGCUACGUCGAUGGCAAGCUGGAGUGCCUCUACCAUGGCUGGCAGUUGGACGGCCAGGGCAAGUGCGUCAAGAUCCCACAGAUCCCACCAUUCCACACUUCUUUUCACGAUGA
rnacentral:rRNA from 1 species